rnacentral:rRNA from 1 species
CACUCCUACGGGAGGCAGCAGUGGGGAAUUUUGGACAAUGGGGGCAACCCUGAUCCAGCAAUGCCGCGUGAGUGAAGAAGGCCUUCGGGUUGUAAAGCUCUUUUGUCAGGGAAGAAACGGUAGUAGCGAAUAACUAUUACUAAUGACGGUACCUGAAGAAUAAGCACCGGCUAACUACGUGCCAGCAGCCGCGGUAAUACGUAGGGUGCAAGCGUUAAUCGGAAUUACUGGGCGUAAAGCGUGCGCAGGCGGUUGUGUAAGUCAGAUGUGAAAUCCCCGGGCUCAACCUGGGAAUUGCAUUUGAGACUGCACGGCUAGAGUGUGUCAGAGGGGGGUAGAAUUCCACGUGUAGCAGUGAAAUGCGUAGAUAUGUGGAGGAAUACCGAUGGCGAAGGCAGCCCCCUGGGAUAACACUGACGCUCAUGCACGAAAGCGUGGGGAGCAAACAGGAUUAGAAACCCCUGUAGUCCCAUGAU